rnacentral:rRNA from 1 species
GUGUCAGCCGCCGCGGUAAAACGUAGGACGCGAGCGUUAUCCGGAUUUACUGGGCGUAAAGCGCAUGCAGGCGGCCUUGUAAGUCGGAUGUGAAAUCUCCCGGCUCAACUGGGAGGCGUCAUUCGAUACUGCAAGGCUUGAGGGCAGGAGAGGGGAGUGGAAUUCCCGGUGUAGUGGUGAAAUGCGUAGAUAUCGGGAGGAACACCAGUGGCGAAGGCGGCUCCCUGGCCUGUACCUGACGCUAAGAUGCGAAAGCGUGGGGAGCGAACGGGAUUAGAAACCCCGGUAGUCCACGCCGUAAACGAUGCGGACUAGGUGUGGGAGGUAUUGACCCCUUCCGUGCCGUAGCUAACGCGUUAAGCCCACCGCCUGGGGAGUACGGCCGCAAGGCUGAAACUUAAAGGAAUUGACGGGG